AGAGAGAUGUCCGAGUGGUUGAAGGAGCACGCCUGGAAAGUGUGUAUACGUCUAAAGCGUAUCGCGGGUUCGAAUCCCGCUCUCUCUGCGA
rnacentral:tRNA from 2 species